GACGAACCGUGCGAACGUUGUUCGGAAUCACUGGGCUUAAAGGGCGCGUAGGCGGCUCGCGAGGUCGGGGGUGAAAUCCCACAGCUCAACUGUGGAAGUGCCUUCGAUACCGGCGGGCUGGAGGAAGGUAGGGGUGCGCGGAACUUCUGGUGGAGCGGUGAAAUGCGUUGAUAUCAGAAGGAACGCCGGCGGCGAAAGCGGCGCACUGGACCUUUUCUGACGCUGAGGCACGAAAGCGUGGGGAGCAAACAGG
rnacentral:rRNA from 1 species